GUUUACAUUAGUUUUUUGCCUUUCAAACAAAAACUAUCGUCAUUCCAUCUCACCUACUACCGAAUCCCAAUUUUUUUUUUUUUUUUUUUGUAGUUGACAUCAAAAUCUUUCCCCCAAAAGUUCCUUCUCUCUGCCCCCUCAAUUCGCUUCAAUUCGAUCGACGAACCCGAUUCGAGCAUAUGGGUAGCGGAGAAAAGGUCUUCACCUUGAAGGAAGUCGCUGAGCACAACAAUCACAAGGACUGUUGGCUCAUCAUCAGUGGCAAGGUAUAUAUAUAUAUAUAUAAUCCAUUUCUCUUCUUCUUCUUGUUCUUCUGGAUCUAUGAUUUUUCCGUUUUACUCGCGGAUUCUGCGAGUUUUUGGGUGGAUUUUGGUUCUUGUUGUGGCGGUGGAGUUCGGCGUUGGUUUGGUUUUGUUUGAGAUUUCAGAUUUGUUUUGUUUUGUUUUCAGAUUUUGCAUUCUAAUAGAGUAUUGAACUGUUUAGAUCUGUAGUUUCUGGACAGGAUUUUAUGAUCUAUUUGUUGUCUGUAAUUCAA